rnacentral:rRNA from 1 species
AGACCUCUCGCUAUCGGAGCGGCCGAUGUCGGAUUAGCUAGUUGGUGGGUAAAGGCCUACCCAAGGCAACGAUCCGUAGUGGUCUGAGAGGACGACCAGCCACACUGGGACUGAGACACGGCCCAGACUCUACGGGAGGCAGCAGUGGGGAAUUUUGGACAAUGGACGCAAGUCUGAUCCAGCCAUGCCGCGUGCGGGAAGAAGGCCUUCGGGUUGUAAACCGCUUUUGUCAGGGAAGAAAUCUUCUGAGUUAAUACCUCGGGAGGAUGACGGUACCUGAAGAAUAAGCACCGGCUAACUACGUGCCAGCAGCCGCGGUAAUACGUAGGGUGCAAGCGUUAAUCGGAAUUACUGUAAAGCGUGCGCAGGCGGUUGUGCAAGACAGGUGUGAAAUCCCCGAGCUCAACUUGGGAACUGCACUUGUGACUGCACGGCUAGAGUACGGUAGAGGGGAGUGGAAUUCCGCGUGUAGCAGUGAAAUGCGUAGAUAUGCGGAGGAACACCGAUGGCGAAGGCAGCUCCCUGGACCUGUACUGACGCUCAUGCACGAAAGCGUGGGGAGCAAACAGGAUUAGAUACCCUGGUAGUCCACGCC